rnacentral:rRNA from 1 species
AGUGAACGCUGGCGGUAGGCCUAACACAUGCAAGUCGAACGGCAGCACAGUAAGAGCUUGCUCUUACGGGUGGCGAGUGGCGGACGGGUGAGGAAUACAUCGGAAUCUACUUUUUCGUGGGGGAUAACGUAGGGAAAAUUACGCUAAUACCGCAUACGACCUACGGGUGAAAGAAGGGGAUCUUCGGACCUUGCGCGAUUGAAUGAGCCGAUGUCGGAUUAGCUAGUUGGCGGGGUAAAGGCCCACCAAGGCGACGAUCCGUAGCUGGUCUGAGAGGAUGAUCAGCCACACUGGAACUGAGACACGGUCCAGACUCCUACGGGAGGCAGCAGUGGGGAAUAUUGGACAAUGGGCGCAAGCCUGAUCCAGCCAUACCGCGUGAGUGAAGAAGGCCUUCGGGUUGUAAAGCCCUUUUGUUGGGAAAGAAAAGCAGCAGGUUAAUACCCCGCUGUUCUGACGGUACCCAAAGAAUAAGCACCGGCUAACUUCGUG